rnacentral:rRNA from 1 species
AUUGAACGCUGGCGGCAGGCCUAACACAUGCAAGUCGAGCGGAGCGGCGGACGGGUGAGUAAUGCCUAGGAAUCUGCCUGGUAGUGGGGGAUAACGUCCGGACACGGGCGCUAAUACCGCAUACUAUCAGAUGAGCCUAGGUAGGAUUAGCUAGUGGGUGGGGUAAAGGCCUACCAAGGCGACGAUCCGUAACUGGGCUGAGAGGAUGAUCAGUCACACUGGAACGGUGACACGGUCCAGAAUCCGACGGGAGGCAGCAGUGGGGAAUAUUGGACAAUGGGCGAAAGCCUGAUCCAGCCAUGCGGCGUGUGUGAAGAAGGUCUUCGGAUUGUAAAGCACUUUAAGUUGGGAGGCGUUACCAACAGAAGAAGCACCGGCUAACUUCGUGCCAGCAGCCGCGGUAAUAC